rnacentral:rRNA from 1 species
CGGACGGGUGAGUAACGCGUGGAAAACCUGCCGUAUACUGGGGGAUAACACUUAGAAAUAGGUGCUAAUACCGCAUAAGCGCACAGCUUCGCAUGAAGUGGUGUGAAAAACUCUGGUGGUAUACGUUGGUUCCGCGUCUGAUUAGCUUGUUGGUGGGGUAAUGGCUCACCAAGGCGACGAUCAGUAGCCGGCCUGAGAGGGUGAACGGCCACAUUGGGACUGAGACACGGCCCAAACUCCUACGGAAGGCAGCAG